GAUGAAGAACGUAGCGAAAUGCGAUAAGUAAUGUGAAUUGCAGAAUUCAGUGAAUCAUCGAAUCUUUGAACGCACAUUGCGCCCGCCAGUAUUCUGGCGGGCAUGCCUGUUCGAGCGUCAUUUCAACCCUCAGGCCCCCAGUGCCUGGUGUUGGGGAUCGGCCCAGCCUUCCUGUAAGGCCGCCGGCCCCGAAAUCUAGUGGCGGUCUCGCUGUAGUCCUCCUCUGCGUAGUAGCACAACCUCGCAGUUGGAACGCGGCGGUGGCCAUGCCGUUAAACACCCCACUUCUGAAAGUUGACCUCGGAUCAGGUAGGAAUGCCCGCUGAACUUAAGCAUAUCAAUAAGCGGAGGA
rnacentral:misc_RNA from 1 species